UAGCUCUUCAGUUUCAGGCCAUGGCCAAACUGUUUGUGUCACCGGAGCUGGAGGCUUCAUUGCUUCCUGGAUUGUCAAACUGUUGCUAGAAAGAGGCUACAUUGUUAGGGGAACCUUGAGAAACCCAGGUCACUCCAAAUCAUUAUCUUCUUGGCCUUUGAGUUGUUUUUUUGUCCUACAUUCGGAGUAUCGACUUAUUAUGUUGUGAGACUGUGAAUUAAAACUGGCCAUUAAUUUAUUUGAAUUAUAUAUGAAUUUGCUGUUUUGAUUCCCAGUUUGACAUAACACGUAUAACAUAUAUUGGGAGACAUAAUUCUUCCUUGUAUUGAUAUGUUUUUUUUUCCUUUUUGGUGCUUUUCUUAUUUUGUGUUGAUCACAGAUGACCCAAAGAAUGCUCAUUUGAGGGAGCUUGAAGGAGCUCAAGAUAGGUUGACUUUACGUAAAGCUGAUCUUCUUGACUUUGAGAGCCUUAAAGAAGCCAUCAACGGCUGUGAUGGCGUUUUUCACACAGCAUCACCGGUUACGGAUGACCCAGUGAGUUUUUUUUGUCUCUGCUUCCUUACUUUGUUUCUUCCUUUUCCUGUUUGGUUGCUGCCGGAAAAUAUGCACACUUUUUCUCUUACGUGGUGGACAAUACCAUGCAUGUGCAUGCACAGUUUUUCGAUCAGUUUGUGUAUCCUUCAAACAAAACUAUCCCGUGGUGGUUCUGGGCCAGAAACCACUUGCUUUUGUCGAUUGUGAUGUUUUGGACCUCCAAACUUGUUCUCUAAGUCCCAUAAUACUUUCUUAAAUACUAUGAGUAUUUAAAAGGUUAAAAAAAAAAAAAAGAACACUAGCUAAGAAAGGAAUAGUUUGGUAACGGAUAUUGGUUUUGGUUGGGUGAAGAUAUUUCCCUUUUCAUAAUUUCUUAAAUUAGCUUUCAAAUUCACGUCCCACAUUAUAAAAGUCUAUUAGAAAGUUAAGCGGCAUGAAUUUUUUCCUACUAUUGUAACGAUAUAUUCAUUAUCUUAUAUGAAACAAUUUACAUUUUCGCUGCAUGGUGUCAUGAUUACAUCUUAACUAAAGAUUAAGAUAAGAAAAAAAAAAUUAAAGAAAAAUAACAUGCAUGUCUAGUAGUUUGGUAAAAAGCUCACAUUUUAGGGUACAUAACCGUAGCCGCUAAGAGAGGGAAAGAAAAAGAGAGAGGACGCUUCGGCUCCUGGAUUCUGUUGGAUCUUCGAUGUUCUUUGGUUUUUGGGAGACCUCUAUCGAUCUACUCUUCUUUUGGGAGAUAUGUAGUCUCAUAUCUGGGUUAGCUUUGGUUGUGCCUCAUCUUGCGAGGUUGCUGUUUGAGGUAUUGCGGCUUGAUCAUGGUAGAUCCACUACUCAUUGGUGCGUUGAGGCCCAGGAGUAACUAAGUGGUGCUCUCUAUGUCUUACCCCGAAAGAAUCAGUGGCGAUUAAUUUUCCCUUUGCCGACAUCAUUUUAGUUUUUAGUAUUAUUUUGGUUGAGUUUGCUGAGUGUUCUUAGUCUUUUUAAGAGUCAUGUCGAUGCUAGUUUUUGUCUUUGAUGCCAUUGAACUAUAUUCGGGGAAAUUAUGGCAGUUGAAAGGGGUUUUAGAAAAGUUAUUUUCGAGUGUUAUUGUCUCCAGAUUUCCAUUUUAUAAAUAAAAAAUAAAAAAAUUAAACCUCACAUUUUAGUUAUUUUUUUUUUGGGUAAAAUUAAUGAGGUUUUAAAAUUACCAAUUUAGGCCAUACCCUAACACGUGGAUGUAUUUAGAACCAUAAAAAAAAUUUCUCCAAAAUGUCUUCCAAAUGCCUUGAAAAAAAGAUAUUAUUGUACCUUAACUCAAAAUAAAAUUUGCUCAUGAUUUUCUACUAUAAUAUAUUAUCUCUAUGCUAUUAAAAUAUUUUGAAGGGAUUGGAUUUGUUAUUAUCAUUUUUUAAUAGUAAAUUUAACUUAACCCCUUCAAGGUAAUUUUUUCAAUUACAACCCAUCUCUUUAUUUUUGUUUGAAUAAUAUCCAUUUUUUUCUAAAUAAAACCCGAUGACUAGGAUCCAACUCGGGAACUUACCUAAUCAAACGCAAAAUCGAAUUUAUUGUAUUUUUUUGGAUUACUAAAAUACCCCCAACUAAGUCAUUAUUAUAUUUUGUAUAUUAAUAUAGGAUCCAACACAAAAAUAAAUUUUAAUUAGAUUGUAACUAAUGGCACACGUUCAAUUUGAAAAGAUCUUCAAAUGGAUGUAGGAUUAAUUUGGAAACUUUUUUAAAACUUAACAAUACAUUCAGAUUUAACAUACCUAAUCAGUUUAUUCAAUAAUUUUUUUUAAUUUACUUAUGAAGUAUACGUGAUUAAUUAUUUAUUAUAUUAUUAUUUUAUAAAUAUAAUAGCAUACAUAAAAUUGAAAAAAUAACAUACCUAUUACUUCUUUUACAAAAAUGAAUUUACUUAUUAUUCAAAUAAUAUACCCAACUUUUAUAAAAGUAUUUUGGAUAUAGUUUACCUAAUAAUUUCCUAUUAUGCAAUAAUAUAACUUGUAAUUUACCUAUUAUGGAUAAAUUUGUAGGUAAAUUGUAUUGAUAAUAAUUUACCUAUUAUAUUGUAUUGGAUAUAUACAUAUUAUAUUAAUAAUAAUUUACCAAUUAUAUUUUAUUAGGACAAAAUUUGAGGAAUUUUUUCUUGGUCGAAAGUUUAAGGAUUUUUUUAUUGGUCGAAAGUUUAAGGAUUUUUUUAUUGGUCGAAAUUUUUGGGAUUAGAGGGAAUGCCCAAAAAAAAAAAAAAACAACGUCAUUGAUAUGCUAUAAAUGAUGAAGUAUUAAUUAGAAAUGAAGGACUUACUGACAUGCUUGAAAACAAUCAGGUUGACUUAUUUGAAGCUUAGUGGCAAGCAAUGUAAAUAUGUAGGAGUAGUAUGACCUUUUAUAUAUAUAAUUUUAAUUUUAAUUUUAUAUAUAGAUUUCAAAAUUAAUGGGUUGUUGUAUGGAGUCUGAGGUGCAGGUUUUCGCAUAGAAGAAGACAGACCUAAUUUCUUUUGCUAGAACGACACCGUUCUCUUUCUUUGAUAUCUUUUAAUGGAACACAUCGUUUCAUUUAAGCUUGAGUUCUCCAAAAGCAAGCAUGCGUUUUAUUUGUAAAGCCCAAAAAGAUGGGCCCUCAAUAACUUUUAAAUGGGACAUGCGUAAUAACAUAUCUAAUAUUUAUUAAUAGGUUUUUGUUUGAUUUCAGAAAAAGACUCUAGAAUUCACUAUUAAUUGAAUCGGUUGUAGCUUCUCGUGACACUUAUUAACAUAUCUAAUAUUUAUUAAUUAAUAGACCAUCUUUAUUUUUUGUGUAAACACUUUUUUUUUUGGAACUUUGAGUUUUUUUUUUUUUGGGUAAAGAAACUUGUAUCUUUUUAAAUGGUACCCCUCUAUUGCCUAUAUCCAGCCCUUUUUUUAAUAAGGCAAUGAAUGAUGGAACAAAUAUAGGAACAAAUGAUGGAGCCUGCGGUGAAUGGAACGAAAAAUGUGAUUGUUGCAGCAGCAGAAGCCAAGGUUAAAAGGGUUGUGUUCACGUCGUCAAUUGGUACAGUGUACAUGAACCCCACCAGGAGCCCUGAUGUGGUGGUCGAUGAGUCAUGUUGGAGCAACCUUGAAUAUUGCAAGAACACCAAGGUUAGACAUAAUCUUAUAACAAUUUUAAUAUUUUAUCUCUUCAGUAUAUAUAGUAGAUGUUUAAUGACUCACAAGAGCAUUUUCUUGUAUUUUGAAUGUUUCACCAUUCUCUGCCUUUUGCUUUAUAUGUAUAGAUUAUGCACACAAACAAACAUCAAUGUUUGAUAUAUUUAUCACUCAUUAUGUCUCAUAAUUAAGAACAAUUGUUUUUUUUAAUACAAGCUUUGCUGUAAACAAUUUAAAAUUUAUCUAGCUAAUCUAUAAGGAGAAGACUUGGGUGCAAGGGGCGGACUCACUACUAUGACCAAUUGACAUAACCCAGAUCUGCCAUAAUUAAGAACAAUUGUUUUAUCCUGGGGUUUCUCUAGGAGAGUAGAAAAGGUCAAGUUGGUAGAUAAAGCUUGUGAGAUUUCAAACUAGUAUUCUCUCAAGACUUCCAUGAUCCUGAUAGUUCUACUACGUAUUGUUAUUCUAGUACAACAGCUAUUUAAGUGGGUGCUAGAUGUAUUGGAGUACAGUUUGGCACAUGGAAGAGAUGGUAAACCAUUUUGCUUCUCAAUUUGUGCCGACUGAGGAGGAACAGCAACUAGUACUGGUGGUUGAGGGAGGUAAUGCUGGUCUGCUUCGAACUACAAAGUUUGUCCUAGUAGGCAAAGUGCUCACGAAGAAACCUUUCAACAAGGAGGCAUUUAAGCGCGCUAUGGCGACACUAUGGAGACCGAAGGCACGGGUGGAGAUUGUGACCUUGGAGGAUUAUUUGUUCAUGUUUGCUUUCUCCUCACGACAAGAUAGAGCGAGAAUUCUAGGCGGGGGUCCUUGUGCCUUCAACCACUAUUUGCUGGUGAUUAGUGAAGAGGAUGACAUAAGCAACUACCUCCUCCUGAUUUUGGCAUCAUGGAGUCGACUGGUCGUUUUCCAUUGGUGAUAUAGGCUCAAUGUUCAGCAAAAGAGGACAAAGCAACGGUCGUUUUGACAUAGUGGCUCCGCCUGUGAAGGAAUAAGGAGGGCGAAGGGUUGUUUUGGAGGGGCGACCGGUCACAUUGAUGUUAAAUCUAUUCCAUUGUGAAAAAGUCCAGAAAAUUCGGGGUGUUUCACUAUAGAUUCUCCUCUUAUGCUUCUAAAAAAUAUAUGUCUUGUUCUUGGAACGCUAUAUCCAUGAAGGUAGAUACCUUAUGACUUUGAGGGUGAUAACAUCGGUAGCCUUUUUUAUGAGGGGCAUUGCCAAUGAAAACACACUUUUUUGCGUAAGGAUCUAAUUUGUUGCGUUGGUGAUCAUGUAAGUGCAUGAAUACAAUACAGUCAAAAAUCCACGGUUCAAGGUUUGGGGUGGGAGGUAUUUGGAGAUGGUGGUGAAGUGUUUGAAGAGGAGUUUGGAAAUUCAAGAUUCUUGAGGGAAUCCUAUUUAUAAGGUAAGUUGUAGAGAGGACGGCCUCACCCCAAAAAGAUCUAGGUAUGUUGGCACUAAAUAAAGAUGCACGAACGACUUCCAAUAAAUGUCAGUUCUUUCUCUCAGUCACCCUAUUUUGUUGGGGAGUAUAUGGACACGAGCAUUUAUGUAUGAAGUCAUGAUCCUGUAAGAAUUUUUUGAGAUCAUGAUUAAGAAAUUCUCUCCAUUGUCAGAAUGGAGAACCUGUAUUUGGGCAUGAAACUGAGUCACCACCAUUUUAUGGAACUGUUGAAACAUUAAAUUGACUUCCACUUUUGAUAAGGGAAACCCAGGUAAUUCGGGUGCAGUCAUCAAUGAAAGUACAAACCAUCGAGCUCUAACCAAAGUAGCUAUUUGAGCAAGCCCCGGAACAUCAGAAUGAAUAAGGGAGAAGGGAACUAAACUUUUAUUUGCACUUAAUGGGAACGGAACACAAUGACUCUUAGCCAAUUCACACUGGAAGCUGGAAACAUCAAAACUGGAAAAUAAUAAUGGGAACAACUUCUUCAGAUAACCAAACGAGGCAUGCCCAAGACGUUUAUGCCAUAACCAUACUUUGUCUCUCUGCCUCUUAGAACUAGCUUCACUUGUUGUGAAAGCUUGACCAACCUUUGGUCUCACUAUCCGAUGCCUAGUCCAAGUAGCAGAAUCUGCCUUCCCUAAAGAUUCAAAAAUUUCUCCAGCUUUCUUGAGGGGAGCAUUAGCCUUUUCAGGAUUUGAAGUGCCGUUAUUGUCAGCCAUAACUUUAAGGCCAGCAGCUUUCGACCUUCUUUCCCAAGUAUCACCAGCUCUUUGAAAACAUAUUGUGGCCAUUUCAUAGUUAUCCUCUUGAUAGAGCUGGAUCGAUGAAACAAAUAAAAUGGAUUAGAUUAAUACAAUUGAAAAUAAUGGUUAUACAUACACUCUGCUUUAAGGAUUAAGGUAACCAUGACGACGAUUAUGAUGCUUAAAGUGAUAAUGAAUUUGACAAAUACAAAAUAAUAUAUAUGCAGAACUGGUACUGCUAUGCGAAAACAGUGGCAGAGCAGACAGCUUGGGAAGAGGCCAAGGAGAAAGGGGUGGAUUUGGUGGUGGUGAACCCAGUUUUGGUACUCGGACCACUUCUCCAACCAACCGUCAACGCCAGCAUCAUCCACAUCCUCAAGUACCUCACAGGCUCAGCCAAGACUUAUGCCAAUGCUGUGCAGGCCUAUGUGCAUGUUAGGGACGUGGCUGUGGCCCACAUUCUGGUGUAUGAAACUCCAUCUGCCUCGGGAAGGUACCUUUGUGGUGAGAGUGUGCUUCACCGUGGAGACGUGGUAGAAAUCCUAGCCAAGUUCUUCCCAGAAUACCCAAUUCCCACCAAGUAAGUACAUCAUCGUCCUCAUCAAUUUUGUUUUCUUUAUUUCUUGUCUAAAUAAGAUAUUUUCUGAGCUACAUGUUAACAACCAAGAUGGGGAUGAGGGCGGGGGACAGUGAUGGUAUCCCUAUUUUGGUAUAAGCGAAAUGACAAAUAUGUUUGUUUAUGCAUACGUAGGCAUCUCUCAUAGUGAUUGAUUUAGUGUUUGCUUAUGGUCCAUUACUUAAUGUUUUUAUAGAAUAAAGAAAUUUUUGGCUAAUCAUUGGUUUGCUUAUACAUUUUAAACUAUUAUUUUAAAAUCUAUUUACAUACAAUUUUUUAUUAUUUAUGGAUUUCUAUUUUCAAACUAUUUUAAUGCAAUACACAUAUUUGUAUUUUUGAAAGUACUCUUGUUUUUUAAUGUUGUGGGAUUAAAUUAAUUAGUAUGUCAUAUAUUUACAGGUGCUCGGAUGAAGUCAAACCAAGAGUAAAACCAUACAAGUUGACAACCCAGAAGCUACAAGACUUGGGCGUGGAGUUCAUUCCAGUGAAACAGUGCCUAUAUGAAACUGUUAAGAGCUUGCAGGAGAAGGGCCACCUUCCAGUGCCUAAACCACAAGAAGAUUCCAUUAAAAUUCAAUCUUAAAUCUUGUAAGAAUAUUUGCAAUGCGUGACCUAUGUAUUUGCGGCGGAGAUAAACGUUGCAAUGGUAUUUUAAUAUCAGAUGACAAGUUUGUAAGAAUAUUUCAUAAAUAUUAUGUAUCACCUAACCUACAUGAAGUGACUUAUGUGAUCAAUUAAUUAUUUAAUUAGUUUAAUAAAUAUUAUUAUUAUAUAUUGGUCAAAUUAAGAGAAGUAAUUUCAUAGGAUAUGUGGAGAGAGAAGUUUUGACCUAGCCGCUCUCUCCCUGUGUAAAUCCUAAGGAAAAACUCAAUAGAGGGGGGGGAGGAAGAAGCCUCACUAUCCCACCUCCCCUUCAUCUCUUACUGUUGGGUUAGUGAAUAAGUCCACUGGGCAUUUUGGAUAAGAAUCCCCUUGUGGUGAUCUCUUCUGGGCCGUACUUAGAUUGAAGUUCCCCUUCACCCCUUUUGGGCUAUGUUCUCAAUCAAAUCAUUUUCCCAAAACCCGCUCUCUAACACUACUCAUGUUCUCUGAAUUUGGUUCUACAUUGUAUUUGAUGGUGGUUGGUACAAAUCACUCAAUUGUUCUUUGCCAUAGUUUUUUGUUUUCGUUUAUUUAUUCACUCUUAUCCUCAUGUUGAUCGUUGUGAAUCACAUUUUUCCCAAAUCUAUUAUGGAUGCGGUGUUAGGUGUGGCUGUGACGACGCUUCUUCAGGUAGUGGUGAUAGGGUUCAUGCAGGCUCAUGGGUCGCUUUAGAGUUUCAGUUAUAUUGGGUUUGUGUGUUUUGUCUGGGCUUAUGGUUCAUUAUGGUGAGGCUAAACUAGUGAAUUUCCCUUGAACUUGUACCCAAUUUUCAAGGGAAAGUGAACACGAAGACUCUUGGCCAACUGUUGCGUCUACCCAAGUGCAAGUAGUCACACGUAGUAAUAAUCUUGGAAGUCCAAGUAUUGUAUCCUCAAUGAGCAAGUAGGCAAAUAUCUGCACACAAAGAAAUAAUUAAACGUACCACAAUAAAAGUGACAAGCAAAAUGGAAAAGUAAUUUGAUUUGAUUGUUGUGGAAAUUGAGUCUAAAAAUGAAAUAUCAAUAAUGGAAAUGCUAAGGCAUCAAGGUUCAAUUCUUUAAAUAAAGUAUGUUUCAUGCUCUUUGAUCCAAAUUAUAACUCGAUUAAAAUCAUCAUUGAAAAACUUUAACAGGAAGAUAAAAAAAAAAUUAAAACCAAUUUAAUUUUUUCAAUGUUAUCUUUUAUUAAUGAUUGUUCAGAAAAUGGAAUUGCUUAAUAUCUACUCUUUUAAUUUAAAAGCAUGCUAAGUCAAUUCUUAACAAUGAGAAAAAUAUAAUUGAACUCAUGAAAAGAUAAUAGCACUUAACAUCAAUCAAAAUAAAAGGAUAUGAAAAUAUUGAACAACCAAAAAUAAAAGAAUUUAGCAAUUCGUACCGUAUAUUAGGUUAAAGAACAAUUCACAAACUUACUCAAAGAACAUUCCCUCUAGCCUUAGCUACAGUUUUAGCAACGCAUUACAAAGGAAAACAUAAAACUAAAUUUUGAAUGAAAUGGAUAAAGAAAUCUGUUGUCGGGGUCCCUUGCCAAAUAAGUUGAUGGGUGAUUUAUAGUGGUCAAUGAGGUAAGUGGGAAGUUAACAGCUUCGUGGUGGGUGAUGAAGGGUUUAAUUGAGGGAUUAAUUGGAUUAAACAUGGGUUGAUGGUGGAGAGUUAGUGGAAAAGAAAUAACGGUGACGUAAGUGGGCGUUAAAUGGCUAUGAAUGACAUGAAAUAGGCUCUUUAGCUUCAACGGUUUUGUCUUCGCUUCUCCCUCUUUACUUCUCUUUAUAAUCACAAUAAUCCCACAAUGAAUUCUUCAAUAAAAUCCGCCAGCAAUUCUCUUCACACCUAGCUUGAACUUGGACAAAUGUAUGUCUUCAUCUUUUGGCUUUCCAACUUCCUAUAGAAGAUAAAUUCACCUAAUAAGUUCACCAAAUUAAUAUAAAAAUUCAUAAAUCCGGUUGGUGAGAAUAAAUGUAAUAACAAGUGAAAUUAUAUUUAUUAAGCCAAAAUUAUAUCAUAAAGUCUCCAAAAUAAUAUUAAAAAUAUGUAAUUUGAGACUCUCAUCACCAACACAAAGUAUUACAUUGAAAAUCCUCAAGACUAAAACCACAAACUAAAGAUGGCAAAAGACUUCUUUGGUAGCCACCAGAUGGAUAGCGAGAAUGCCACAGUAGAAUGCGUUGUCGACGAUCUUUGAUAGAACCUUUGGUAAGAUGAACCCGGACUUGACAAAUAUCAUCAACAUAACACAAUCCCUCUCUCUUAAUAGCACGGCCAAUGAUCUCCUUCAUGAGAAUAUCUUGAAGACGACUGAAAAACGGGUACAUUAGUACAAAACAAUUAAGUUGCUCAGUGACUUGUCCAACAUACAAGAGGUUAUUGGAGAGAGAAGGCACAAGUAAGCAAUGAUGUAAGGAGAGAGAAGGAGUUAAUUCCAUUGUUCAUGUGCUUGUAACAAGACUUGAGUCACCGUUAGCAUUGGCCAAAUUGCUCAAGUGAGGUGAGGUACGAUACGUAAAAUUUCAGGAAUCAAAGGUCAUAUCACUACUAUAUUUUACACUUUGCGCGACUCUUUGUCGCGCAAAAUAAAUUGUAGUCUCACAAAUUUCAGUGCUAUAGAAACUUCGUCGCGCAGAAUCCAUCGUGCAGAAUCCAUCGCGCAAAGAUCGUGAAGAAAGAGGCGACACAUUGCACGAGGAAACACAUUGGUCACGCAAAGUUUUGGCGACAAAACACAUUGGUCGCGCAAAGUCUUAAAAAAAUUUAAAAAAAAUAAAAAAUUCCCUCGUCCCAUUUUUGUUACUCGCCAAAUUUUUAGAGUUUUGCGCGACGAAUACUAACGUCGCUCAAAUAUUUGAGCGACAAAAAAUUUUUUGUGUUUAAAAUUUUUUAAAUUAAAAUAAACUAAUUUAAUAGUUUGCGCUACAAAAUAUUUUGUCGCGCAAAGUUUUUGACUUUUUGUUUUAUUAUUUCUUUAAUAUUAAUUUAUUUAUAUUAAUUUAUUCGAAUUUUUACUUUUUAAAUUUAAUUUAAUUGUAUGAUUUUUUUAAAAUCACUUUAAUUUAAAUUGAUAUUAAUUUAAUUAUAUUAAUUUUUUCAAAUUUUUACUUUUUAAAUUUAAUUUAAUUGUAAGAUUUUUUUUUAGUUACUUUAAUUUAAAUUGACACAUUCAAAAUAAAAUUACAUAGGAAAAAUAGUGAUCAAAUUAUCCAAUAAAUAUAUAUAUAAUAUUCAAAAUGUACACAUAAAUUAACAAAGUACAAUAAUAAAAUCCUAACACAAGCGUAUUGUGGUGGUAGUGGCGGAUGAUAUGUUUUGAUAGCUUCCUAAUCCUCAACUUUAGCCAUCAAAGUCUCGAUGAUUACCUACAAAAAAACAAAUAUGGUCAAAUAACAACAACAACAAAAAAAGAAAAAAAAGGCAUAAUCUCCUCUAAAAUUGUUAUACCACAAAUCCAACCCAAACUCCAAUCUCUCCCCUUUACUCAACACCAAACCCCACACAAACUCAAAACUAACUCCAAAAACACAUAUUAAUGAAAAAAAUUUAAAAUUUGGAGAGAAUAUACCUUUUGGCAAGAUUGAGAGUGAGUGAGAAUGAGAGGGAGAAGUGAGUGUGAGAGAAUUAGAUAAGAUAGUGAUAGAGGGAUGAGAGAGUGAGAGAUAGUGAAAAGAUAGAUGAGAGAGUGAGUGAGAGUGAGAGAUAGUGAAGAGAGAGAUGAGAGAUUAAGUGAGAGGAGUGAGUGUGAGAGAAAGGGUGGGAUUUGGGGAGAGGGAAAGAGAGAGGAGAGGUAAGAGUAGAGAAAGACAUUGAGAAAAUGGUGGAGGAGUUAUUUCGGUUUUAAAAAUUGUAUCACUUUGCACGACGAAAAAUAUUGUUGGUCGCGCAAAGUUUUGCCCGACAAAAAAUAUUGGAAUAUUGGUCGCGCAAAGUUUUGCUCGACGACUAUAGGAAUAUUGGUCGUGCAAAGUCUAAAAAAAUUAUUUUAAAAAAAAAAUUUCCCGCAUCCCAUUUUUGGUACCCGCCAAAAUUUUUAAAUUUUUGCACGACGAAAAAUACAUAUUGGUCGCGCAAAGUCUAAAAAAAAUUAUAUAAAAAAAUUCACGCGUCCCAUUGGUACCCGCCCAAAUUUUUGAGCGACAAAAAAUAUAUAUUGGUCGCGCAAAGUUUUGAGCAACAAAAAAUAUUGGUCGCGCAAAGUGUAAAGUUUUUUUUUUUAUUUUAAAAACCCGCGUCCCAUUUUUGGUACUCGCCCAAAUUUUUUGAGUUUUGCACGACGAACUGUUGGUCUCGCAAACUUUUGAGAGACGAAAAAUUGGUUCGUAGUACAAUAUUUAUAAAAAUAAUUGUUACGAAUAAUAAAAAAUAAAAAAAAAUUAUUUUAUGAUUUAAAAUAUAAUUAAGGUGAAAGCUACUUAAUAAAUGUAUAUACUAUUCAAUUUCUUAAGUGUUAUACGUACAAAAUAAAUUAAUUUAAAGCUACUUAAUAAAUAUAUAUAUAUAGACACACACCAUUCAACGAUCCAACCGUAAGACUUGUUUGUAUAUACUUCAAGAUCGUAUACCCCAAAAAUCGUAAAAAAUAAACAUUCAGAGAUCUAGUAACGGGACAAAACUUUUCGAUGGUUAUAAAUGAAAAAUCACAAUUUAACGGUAAUUUUAACUCCGAUUUUGAUGAUUUUUUUUACAGCUACACUCCUUGACCCUAUAUGAAUACAAUGACUGAAUUUGAUCUUCAAUUUAAAAUAUUUACACUAGUGGAUACCACAAAAUCUUAUAUUAUAUUUAAAGAAAGUAUAAAUAAACUCUUAAUUGUUAGUGAAUAUUUUGUUUUGAUGGCAUAUGCAUUCUACGAAACUAGUUUCAACGAUCCAACCGUCAAACUUGUUUGUUUAUACUUCGAGAUCAUAUACGCCAAAAAUCAGAAAAAAGAAACAUUCAUAGAUCAAAUAACAGGACAAAACUUUUCGACGGUUAUAAAUGAAAAAUCAUGAUUUAACGGUUAUUUUAACUCCGAUUUUGAUGAUUUUUUACAGCUACACUCCUUGACCCUAUAUGAAUACAAUGACUGAAUUUGAUCUUCAAUUUAAAAUAUUUACACUAGUGGAUACCACAAAAUCUUAUGUUAUAUUUAACGAAAGUAUAAAUAAACUCUUAAUUCUUAGUGAAUAUAUUGUUUUGAUGGCAUACGCAUUCUACGAAACUAGUUUCAACAAUCCAAUCGUCAAACUUGAUUGUUUAUACUUCGAGAUCAUAUACACCAAAAAUCGGAAAAAAUAAACAUUCAAAGAUCAAGUAACGGGACAAAACUUUUCGACGGUUAUAAAUGAAAAAUCAUGAUUUAACGGUUAUUUUAACUCCGAUUUUGAUGAUUUUUUACAGCUACACUCCUUGACCCUAUAUGAAUACAAUGAAUGAAUUUGAUCUUCAAUUUAAAAUAUUUACACUAGUUGAUACCACAAAAUCUUAUGUUAUAUUUAACGAAAGUAUAAAUAAACUCUUAAUUGUUAGUGAAUAUAUUGUUUUGAUGGCAUACACAUUCUACGAAACUAGUUUCAACAAUCCAACCAUCAAACUUGUUUGUUUAUACUUCGAGAUCAUAUACGCUAAAAAUCGGAAAAAAUAAACAUUCAGAGAUCAAGUAACGGGACAAAACUUUUCGACGGUUAUAAAUGAAAAAUCAUGGUUAUUUUAACUCCGAUUUUGAUGAUUUUUUACAGCUACACUCCUUGACCCUAUAUGAAUACAAUGACUGAAUUUGAUCUUCAAUUUAAAAUAUUUACACUAGUGGAUACCACAAAAUGUUAUGUUAUAUUUAACGAAAGUAUAAAUAAACUCUUAAUUGUUAGUGAAUAUAUUGUUUUGAUGGCAUAUGCAUUCAACAAAACUAGUUUCAACGAUCCAAUCGUCAAACUUGUUUGUUUAUACUACGAGAUCAUAUACGCCAAAAAUCGGAAAAAAUAAACAUUCAGAGAUCAAGUAAUGGGACAAAACUUUUCGACGGUUAUAAUGAAAAAUCACGAUUUAACGGUUAUUUUAACUCUGAUUUUGAUGAUUUUUUACAACUACACUCCUUGACCCUAUAUGAAUACAAUGAACUAAUUCGAUCGUCAAUUUAAAAUAUAUAUUUUCUAAUAAAAAUCCAAUCUGAACAACAAUAAUAUAUUUUUCUAACAAAAAUCCGAUCCAAUCUAAAAUAAUAAAUUUAAAGCUACUUAAUAAAUAUAUAUAUACCAUUUUAUUUCUUAAAUGUUAUGCAUACAAAAUAAAAAACAAAAAUAAAUUGGUUUAGGCGACGAAAUGUUUGGAUUACGUCAUGCAAAGAUUUUAAAAAAUAAUUUUUUAAUUUUAUUUAUUUUUAUAAGGACUUUGUGCGACGAAGUUUACUGUUUCGUCGCACAAAGUCACUUUGAGCAACGAAUUAUUUUUUGUCGCGCAAAAUUUGGUCGCGCAAGACUUUGAGCGACGAUGUAUUGUCGUCGCGUGAAGUGACUUUGCGUGAUGAAUUAUUUUUCAUCGCGCAAGCCUUUAAGCGACGAAGUUUCGAGUUUCAUCGCCCAAAGUGACUUUAAGUGACGAAUUGUUUUUCAUCGCCCAAAAUUUGGUCGCGCAAGGGGUUUUUUUUACUAGUGUAUGAUCAGUGGCAACAAAGUCAAUUAACCUGUCAAAAUCUGAAUGUAACCUGGAAGAGUUUAAGGUUCAACUAUUGUUACCUUGGGAGUUACUUCGAGAACUCAUACUUCCCUGAGUUGGAAAAGUUCUUUAUUUACAAGAGCAUAAGUCUACUCAAUUAUCGACAAGCUAUUCACCCCUUAUGUCUUAUUAAAACCGUAUACUAUUGACACCAUCUACUAUGGUUUGUGUCAUUCUAAUAUUCUACAAGAUUCUUGUAAAUAUUGCAUUACCUGUUUUGUUAGGAUUAGUUUUUAUAUUUUCCUUGGGUAAGAAGGCAUUGUACACUAUAUAUACACCUCAUUUGAGAGAAGAAAUAUAUCUCAUAAAUUUACCAUAUAUCCUUAUAUUUGACUUGGUAUCAGAGCUAGGUUAUAUUUGCCCUAGAAUAGCCGAACCCCCUUACUGCUACAAAUUUUUUAUUUUUUGCCUAUUAUUUUGUUUUAAUUCCUUGUGGUGUUCUUUGUCUCCAUGAGGGAAUGCAGGAUUUGUUUGAUGAAGAUGAACAAUCCAAUGAGGUACCACUAAUUACCUCAAGGGGUUCUGGUCAGCCUAUGUCAAUUAUCAAUGUUCAUCAUGAUUCUUCUGCUGCUCCUACAAUUGUCCUACAAUUGUCAAAUUGAAUGGAACAAGUUAUUCAGUAUGGUCCCAACUGCUUGAGCUACAUGUUGAAGAGAAAAUAUGGGUAUCUGACAGGCGCUUCUGCUGCACCAGCUCUCGUAGCCUCCAAUUACAAUAAGUGGUAUGCUAAAAAUGCAAUUGUGAAGGGAUGGUUGAUUCAAUCUAUGGAGCCUAAUAUUAUGCAAAUUUUCCUUCCCUACAAAACUGCCAAAGAUGCAUGGGAGAAUGUGAAAAAAAAAAUACUAUGAUGGCCAAGAUCAGUCAUAGAUUUAAGAGUUAACUUGUUGGGCAUUCAAGGAGAAAAAGUAUGGGCGACAACUUGUCACAUACUAGGUAGAAUUGCAAAGUAUGUGGCACGAGAUUGAUUAUUGAUGACCAAAUAAAUUUACUAAUUCAGCAGAUAUUUUGCUUCGUCACUAGGAGAUUGAGAUCGAGAGGGUUUAUGUAUUUUUAGUUGGAUUAGAUGAUGUGUUUGACAGAGUUUGUGGCAAUAUUCUUGGCAUGGAUCCGUUUUUGAAUUUGGAGAAAGCUUUUUCAUGUGUCGGACGAGAAGACUAGCGGCGAUCCACCAUGAUGGUGCCACCAACCUCGGUGAACACUGGAGUUGUUAUGGCAGCAAGGAACUCCAGGCCUGCCUCUUCCUACAAUCCUGCCAAUUCUACAAUUAAUGGACCUACAAAGCACUCUAUGCCUGCCUCUGCCUACAAACAUGCAGGUUCUACAACUAACAGACCUGCAGGUUCUACAAGACCCAGUGGUCUGCAACGAGUUAAACCUCAGAAUUGUGAAAGGUGUACUCAUUGUAACAACACGAAUCACUUUGUAACUGAUUGCUUUAAAUUACAUGGCUAUCCAGAAUGGUGAGAUGAAUUCAAGGAGCAUAACAAGGCCAAAGCAGCCGCUGAACGAUACGCACAAGGCAAGGUCGCACUCUGCAUAGGAUCUCCCGACCCUUAUGUCCCACAAGCUUCCCCUAUGCCAUCCGUCUCCUCCUCCACUGUUCCUCCAGGUUUUGCCGCCCUCCCUACAGGUGAUUCAGUCACUUCUUCCAAUACCUCAGGUAGUGCUUUUGUUGGCUUAGAGCAUCAACAAUGGGCUCCCUAAACCACCUCCUUAGACAAAUUUUAGGGAGGAAUUGUAAAAAUACAACUCCAACCAUGCUCCCUAUCCACCUCCUAAAAUAGGGAGACCUCUAGGAGCUCCUAAAUCUGAGGAGAGAGAAAGGAGUGGUUCCCUAUAAUUUAAUGCAGCUUUAUUUAAUGAGUAUAUCAAACCUUUAUUUAAUGCUAACUAUUUUUUAUUUUAUUUUUUAAUAGAGAUGGAUCAAUCAAAAAAGAGUUAUAGCAUUUAUGACUCCCUAAACUAGAGAGCACGAUUGAAGUUUAAAUUUUAUAGAGAGCUUCUAAAACAACUUUUAUAUGUUUUUAGCUAAAAUUUAACUAAAAAAUAGAGAGCAUGAUUGUGGAUGAUCUUAGAUAUUAGUUCUGGUUGGAUUAUUGAUUCAGGUGCUUCAAAUCACAUGACAUUUGACCCGACAAAUUUGAAGACUCAGACUACUCCUAGCCUUACUAGUAUGGCAAAUGCGAAUGGCCAAUCCUACCCUGUGAUUAGGGUAGGCACUGUUGAUCUUUCUCCAAAUUUAACUUUGGAACAUGUUCUUCUUGUUCCUUCUUUAUCUCAGAAUUUAUUAUUUGUUGGACAAGUGACUGAACAAGUAGAUUGUUUUGUAUUAAUCUAUCCCUUGUUUUGCCUUCUUCAGGAUAUUUGAACCCAAGAAAUAAUUGGGCGUGGUACUAAGAGAGGGGGACUAUAUUAUGUGGAUAAUGUUUGCACGAGGGAGGCUCUUAUUGCUCACAACUCAGCUGCAGAGAAGAAGAAAAAAAAAUUUGGUUAUGGCAUUGGCGUUUAGGACAUGCUUCUUUUGGUUAUUUAAAACAUUUAUUUCCAACUUUAUUUUUGGAUUUGGAUAUUUCCAGUCUUCAGUGUGAAACUUGUAUUCUUGUCAAGAGUCACCGUGUUUCAUACCCUAUUAGUUUCAAUAAGAAUGAUAAACCUUUUGCUCUUAUUAAUUCUGAUGUAUGGGGUCCUUCCCCGGUAUCUACAAUCUCUGUAAUUAGAUGGUUUGUGACUUUUGUUGAUGAUUAUACGAGAAUAACAUGGAUAUAUUUUAUGAAACAUAAGAGUGAGGCUUUUGGUCUCUUUGAGCAAUUCUUCUCCAUGAAACUACAUAUCCCUAUACCCUUCAACAAAAUGGGGUUGCUGAACGAAAAAACUGCCAUAUUCUUGAGACGGCCAUGAGUAUUUUGAUACAAGCACAUAUGCCUAAGAUGUUUUGGGGUAAUGCUAUAUUAUAUGCAAUGUAUUUAUUAAAUCGUAUGCCCUCUUCUUUCCAUGGAUACAAGACACCACUGGAUGUUUUGAAUUCGACACAUCCCCUACCGUCAGUCCUAACUCUCCAUUCCUACAUUUUUUGUUGUAUAGCCUACUUUCACAUCCUUAAACACCUCCGGUCUAAAUUGGAUCCAUGUGCUCUUAAAUGUGUGUUUGUGGGUUUCUCCCCAUAUUCCAAAGGAUAUCGAUGCUACCUUCCUCCGACAAAGCUCACGUAUGUCACAAUGGAUGUCACUUUCUUAGAGUUGUCUAAAUUGGACAAUUAUGUUACUUGAUAUUACCAUAGAAAGAGAAGCAGUGAUUUGCAAUGAAAAAGAGAAUGCAGUCACUUCAGUUAAGGACCUGGCGCCACGUCUUGCUAACCCCACUUUGUUCCUUGCAACUCCACAUAUCGCAUAUAAUUGUUCUCCCUCUUCUACACCAAUAGUACAUGUCCAAAUUCCUAAGGCUUCGGAUAACCCUGAGGUAAGUACAAAAGCUUUGAUUAAUACUGGCAAUUUAAUUACAAAUGAUAUUGAUAGUGUUGCAAAAAAAGGUAUCAAUUGCCUCCCAUACGUAAAAGAAGAAUUCCACCGGAUCGUUUUUCACCUAAAAAUUCAAAGAAGUCGAACUACUCAAUUGCAAACUAUGUCUCUACUCAUCGAUUAUCUGAAGCAUAUGCGGUUUUUGCUAAUCAGAUGACUGCUGAAUUUAUUCCAUCAAACUUGGGAUUUAGUUUCAUUGCCACAAGGAAAACGACGAGUUGGAUGCAGAUGGAUUUUUACAAUUAAUACACAAGGUAGAUGGUACCAUUGAUAGAUACAAGGUGAGAUUGGUUGCCAAAGGAUAUACUCAGAUAUAUGGUGUUGAUUAUCAGGAAACUUUUGCACUAGUUGAAAAAAUGAACACAGUUCGUGUUCUAAUAUCACUUGCAGCAAAUUUAGAUUGGCCACUCUAACAAUUUGAUGUGAAAAAUGCUUUCCCACAUGGAGAAUUGAAGGAAGAAGUUUAUAUGAGCCUACCUCCAGGAUUUGAUGUAUCGGAAAAUCCAAAUUUGGUGUGCAAGUUGAGGAAGUUACUCUAUGGGUCGAAGCAGUCUCCUAAAGCUUGGUUUGGCAAAUUCAGUUGUGCCAUGAAGAAAUAUGGUUAUCGUCAAAGCAAUGCAGAUCAUACUUUGUUUCUGAAGAGGAGGAAGGGGAAGGUCACUGUUUUAAUUAUAUAUGUUGGUGAUAUGAUAAUAACAGGUGAUGAUACAGAAGAGAUUGAUAAAUUAAAACAUUAUUUAUCAACUGAGUUUGAGAUGAACGAUCUUGGAGGGCUAAAAUAUUUUUUGGGAAUUGAAGUGACUAGAUCUCAACAGGGUAUUUUCUUGUCACGGAGAAAAUAUGUGUUAGAUUUAUUGAAUGAAAUUGGGAUGCUUUGGUGUAAACCUGCUGAUACUCUUAUUGUGCAGACCCAUAAUCUUGAGAUUCUUCUAGAUCAAGUUCCAACUAAUUAAUAAAGACAGGUACCAGAGGUUAGUUGGUAGACUUAUUUAUAUAUCUCACACCAGGCCAGAUAUUGCUUAUGCUAUUAGUGUUGUGAGUCAAUUUAUGCAUUCUCCUAGUGAAGUUCAUAUGGAAGCAGUUAUGCGAAUUUUACAGUAUCUGAACUCCGCUCCUGGCAAAAGGCUGAUAUUCUCAAAACAUGGACAUUUGGAAAUUGAAGGUUUUACAGAUGCCGAUUGGCCAGGAAAUCAAACUGAUAAGCAUUCAACAUCAGGUUAUUUUACAUUUGUGGGUGGUAACCUUGUUACUUGGCGAAGCAAGAAGCAGAAGGUUUGUUCUUUGUCUAGUGUGGAAGCUGAGUAUCGAAGCAUGGUUCAUGGCAUAUGUGAGAUGUUGUGGAUUCGGAAAUUAUUGAAGGAAUUGGGCUUCGUGGCUAAAGAUGCCACGAAAUUGUAUUGAGAUAAUCAAGCUACAAUCGACAUAGCUAAUAAUCCAGUCCAACAUGAUCGUACUAAACAUGUGGAGAUUGACAGAUAAUUUAUUAAUGAAAAAUUGGAAAGCAAUGUGAUUAGUUUGCCACAUGUGAAAUCAGAUAAACAACUCGCAGAUGUUUUGACUAAAGCAGUGUCUAGCCAAGUAUUUAGUGACUCACUUGACAAGUGGGGCAUGGGUGACAUCUAUGCACCAACUUGAGGGGGAGUGUUAGUAUGAAAAUUGUAUUGUCAUUUCCUAGACUCUAGCAUAGGUUGGGAAUCAGUGUGGGAACAUGUUUUACUGGAAGCUUUGGCGCAACACAUUCAUUCUGGAUCUUUGAAGUAUGACGUGAUCGAUAUGAGAAACUGAGUUCAGGUAAAUCAUGACAUAAUCAUGCAUUCAUUAUAGGAUUCCUAGUUGGAGUUAUUUUCAAUCAAGUAUUUUCAUGUUAAUCCUAUUUUUAAUAGGAUUAGAUUUUAUAUCUUGAGAUUAUUUUCCUAAUUAAACUCUAUUUUGAUUUAAGUUAAAAGAUUAUGUUUUCAUCAUUUUGGUCUUGGAAAGUUGUUUCAAUUAAUAUUCUAUUUGGCUUCGUUGUUUACAUGUUGAUAUACAUUGUUUCAUUGGAUAACAAUCGAUGGUUGGAAAACCAUCUUUUAUACUAUAGAACAUGAUGAAACCAUAUAGGAUUCCAAGACUGUCAAAUUGAAUGCAUGACAAGACUUUGAGUUGGGGCUAUGGGCCUUCACGUGAUUGUGAAGAAUAGGUUUUGUAUAAAUCAUUGUGUGCAUCUCUUUUAUCAUAUAUAGCUUUCCCAUAUUUUGUUCGUGUAGAAAGCUACUGUGCAUAUAUUUGAGAUAAAUCAUCAAAGUGUUCCAUGUUUACUUGGUGAUUUAUCAAACACUUUAAUCAUUCAUAUUGCAUUCAUAUGCAUGUUGGUGACUCAUACGGUUGAGGGCACCAAGACCGUGGUGGCGGUUUUCCUCCGGCGAGCUUGAAGUAAUCAUGGCCAGUAUUGCGUUCAACAUAAGGAGUGUCGAAGAUCAUCCUGUGACAGAAGUUGAGUUACGAAGAAGUCAGUAAACAUUAUCUAGAAUGAGUCUAGGAUAAGUGUGUAAGUACUUCUUGGAAUCAUCAUUCUAUAGUGGAUUUGAGUUGGACUGAGGAGUCUCGUGGAUUUUCCCCAGAGGUGGGAUUUUACCACGUAAAAUAAUUCUCUGCAUGUUCUUUUAUUUUAUGCUCAGCACGUUUCAGAAUUGAUAAGCCAUAUCAAUCAUGUUACCGAAGUUUAUUUUUACUUAUUUGAUUAUAAUCUUAAAUUGGCCUAUUCACCCUCCUCUAGGCAUUUUUAGUCAUCUACAGGUAUUAUCAGUGAGUGCUGGCGUUAGUCUUAUUUUAGGUAAGAAAUUAAUAUAAGGAUUCUUGUAAAUAUUGUAUUACCUGUUCUGUUAGGAUUAGUUUUUAUCUUUUCCUUGGGUAAGAAGGCAUUAUACACUAUAUAUACACCUCCUUUGAGAGAAGAAAUAUAUCUCAUAAAUUUACCAUAUAACUUAUAUUUGACUCUUUGCUCAUCUAUUCUAGCAUAGUUUAGAACCUGUUAACAAGUAUUGUGCCCUAUUUGUUCAUAUUGUUUCAUUUGGCUUCUAUUUUUAUGAAUUUUUCUGUUCUUCGUUUCUCUUAAUAGUUUGCAACUUGUUCUUAUUAGUAAUAUCCUUUGUUUUGAGGGUGAUCAUGAGCAUGAACUUUGACAUACAGAAUGUCGAGCAACAGCAGCAGUAGUGACGUUCGAUAUAUGCUAACAUUGUAGGAAAAAAUGUGACGGUGCUGGUUUGGAAUUUAGAAUAUCCAGAUCAGCCGACAAUUACAAUCAUUCUUAUUGGGCAUGCACUAAGUGUGGACAGUUCAGUGAGUGGGUAAAUGGAGCUGAGAUAAAUACAAUAGGUUGAUGCAGGAUCGUGAGAAAUUAUUAUUUUCAGCAUUUAACGAUAUGUCUACCAAACUUGAAGUAAUUGGUGAAGUUGUUCGAAGGUGCUUGAAGAUAAACAAGAGUCUUCAGUGUAGUCUUUGUACUAUUUUUUCCAUUGUAAUGGCAAUAUUUGUGUUAAUAUGUGUCCUUGUAAUUUCACAUAAAAAAAAAAGAGAAGGAAAAAUGCUUGCCUUGCUCUUUGAACAAUAUUACGUAUGUAUGGCUUCAUAUCUCAUGUUUCUGUUUUUCCUCUAUCCUUCAAUGUCCCUGUCUGUUCUACCCCGGAAAUUCAUCCGCAGUGGCCUGGUGUUGGUCUUGGGAUUGUUUUCGUGUUGUUUGCGUAGGCAUGCCACUGUUGGUAGCGAAAGCUCCAACAGAAAGUGACUGAAAAAUGUAAAAUGCACUCCAAUAUCGACUCUAAUCAAUCGAUAGUGAGUUGGGUGGGGAACUGACCCAAUAUAGGUUCUUUUAUAUGCCUCAAUGAAGAGGAUUUCAAUAUUUUUCUAGUGCAAAGACAAAAGUUUUUUUUUUUUUUUUUAUAUAUAAAAAAAACAGAAAUAAAAAUGAGAAACAUGAUAUGGAACUGAAGAUUUCUCGAUUCAAUUCAUUAUCAAUACAAACUCAAAGUAAAUGACAGAUAAACUGAGGAUUUGUCUACUCAGUUCAUUGUAGCUAUAGACUUGAAAAGUAAAUGACAGUAAUGAAAAUGAUGGAUGUUCAUAUGAAGAUUUCUCUAUUCAUAUAAACAAUGGAAUAAAAGUAAACAACAUAGCUUGAAAAUUUCUCUAUUCAGACUUUAUUUAUAGAGAAAAUGAAGUGGGUUGAGUGUUGGGCCCAACAGCCAAUGAGACGUACCCACUUGCCAUUGAUUUUGGUGGGUGGGUUGCUGAAAAAGCAAACAAAAUUAGAAGAGUACUGUUAUUUCUAUCCACAUGUCCUAUUUUUCCACCCACUUUAUCUUCCCACCCACCAUAUAAAUUUUAAAAAAACACAAUCCUAUUUUUCCACCCACCAAUAUUCCUAAAAUACCUUUUUAAUUAUUACCUCAUCCCAUCUCUCCUUUAUUCUCUCUGCUCAUGUCUUCUCUCUCUCUCUCUCUCUCUCAUUUUUGCUCUAUCUUAUUUUCCAUCUCUCACACUCCAUCUCUCUCUGUCUCUCAUGUUUACUAUAAAACUAAAAAUGUUUUUUACUAUAAUUUUUAUUUUUAUUUUUGUAAAUAUGGAUUCUGUGAAUAUAAUCAUAUUUAUGCUCUUACCUUUUCAUGAAAAUCAUUCUCUUCAACAUUCAUUCUCUUGUUGUUUUCUUCUUCAUAAACAAUUUGAUUGAAUGAAUAGAAAAGAGAAGAAAAUUAUUUGAGAAUUGAGUUCUGAGCACUGAAAAGCCUUCUUCACCUUCUCAUGAGCAAGGAGUUGUAUUCUUGUUUUUUUUUUUCUUUCUGUCAAACGAUAGGGUUGGUGAAGCUAUGUCUUUUUUUUUUUCCUCUUUCUUUUUCCUUAAGUCCUUUUAAGUCAUUUUACAAUAGGGUUAAAUUUGUCUUUAAAAGUUUAAAGAUAAGGUGGGUGGGAAAAUAGGACAAGUGGGUGAAAAUAACAACAUUCAAUUAGAAAAGUUGCUUUGGUGAAGCUCCCUAGGUAAUUCAAAAUAUCUUCCAAGCAAAACUUGUUUCCCUCCAUCAGCAAGCUUAAAUCAUUCAUUUUUAAAAAAAAAAAAAAAUAAGCUCAAGCCUCCAUGCUGACUCAUGCACCUCCAUUAACUUAACAAAAGUUGGCCAGCAUAUGCCCUUGCUUCUUCUUUGAUCCUGCUUUGAUGCGUGACGAUUCCAGCAUGCUAUAUUUAUCCAAAUGCUACUAAAUUUUAGUAUGUUGUUCUAUACAUAUAGAGGAACAAUGUUUGUGAAGAACUCGAAUCCAUUUGAGACUGGAAAAUACGAUUUGGCAUGGCUCAAACUGACUAGUUGUCAGAGACAGUUCCUUCGAGUAGACUUCAUUGUUUAAUUCACUGAGUAUUCUACUCUUAUCCAAAUGACGCUACAUUUGGACAAAAUAUAGUAGUCACGCAUUUGAACCACUUUCAUGAAGAACAGAAAUUCAUUUGAGCAUUGAAAACUGCUCAUCGGAUUGGAAGUUCGGCAUAUUGGGUGGGAAAACAUGUUUCAGUAUUUCAUGCCCUGAAGAGUCAGUACAUAUCCCAACGCUGUAAAUUUGGGAUAUAUUGGAAACAUCCAAAUGAACAACUUUUAUGAAGAAAGAACUUCAUUUGAGCAUUGGAUGUUGCUCAUCGGGCUGGAUUCAUCUGACUGCUGCUAAAAUUGCAUGUAUGAGUGAGAAAGUAUGUGCAUCUACAAAGUUAUUGCCAAAUUCAGGGCUGAAAAAAUGCAUGUGGAACCUUCUAAAAUUCACACUGGUCACCAAGCAAAUGGGCCUUUUAUAGUCAAACCCCGAAAAGUUUUUCUUCAAUUAAGCAGUAUAAAAAAUGUAAGGGGGGAUGAAAUAAAAUAAUGAAUUCAAUAGAUAAAAGAGAGCAACAAAAAGAGGAUCGCUAUCAUCAAGCGAGAAGAAUCAAAACUAAAAACCAUGGAAUGGGCAAAUGGUAGUUUCUGAAGAAGUUGUCCCAAAACUGAACACUGUCAGUACUGUCUGCACUUACAAGGUUCCCACACCUGGAGAAAAGAAACAAGUUGAUUUUCAGAAAAGGUAGUUCAGGACCUAAACACCAAUGGAUGCAGACCAACUGAAAAAUCAAUUUCAUAAGCUACAGAAAAUAAUAACGUCACAGCUCAAUUCUACCUUAACCUCCGAGUCCAACUGUAAUCCUGUAGAUUUCAUGCCCCAGUUUAGCAUCCCAGUAUCUUAUAAUCCUGCCCAAUGAAAAAGAAAAAACUAAGAAAGCAACAUGAUGAAAUAAAAGAAGAUCGAGAUGACCAAAACGCCAUAGCCAUGGGAAAAAUAGGGCAGUGUCAGUGGCGUCACUUACCUGACCUUGUUAUUCACCAAAUCAUCCAACUCCUUCCAACUAGAGCUGCCGUGCGCAUGAGUUUUCUUUCCAAGGGGUAGACGUGUGGUCUUCGGUCCCGGUAUUAGAUUUUGACUAGGGCGCGCAAGACAGCCUUGAUGAUCACCCCAGUUCAAAGUUCAUCAACUUGGUGGAAAGGUGUUUGGAAUUUCAUAAAGGAAGAUAAGGUCGACUUAGAUAAAGACGAUAUUGCCUUUUCUAGAGCUAAUGGGUAUUUUCCAGUAGCGCUUCUUUCCUUGUAGACAAGCUUAUUUGGAGCAAAAUUAUAUUUUUGAUACUUUUUUUUUUAGAAUCUUUUGCUCAUUGUAGACAUUUCCUCGCAAGGAGUUGCAACCCUCCACAACUCUAUCAGUGUGCCCACAAGUUGCUUGAUCUAAUGCCUCAAAGAGGCUUUUAUUUAUUUAUUUAUUAUUAUUACUAUUUUAUGCGUAGCUGCUGCGCAUACAACUCACAUAGCUAAAUAUUUUUUUCUCAUUCCCUGUCCCAAAACGUUUGGGACUAGGACAAAGCAAAAAAAGAAAGAAGAAGCCUUACCAACAAUCUAGAGGAAACGUUGAUAAGGUGCAAGGUAUUUUUUUCACUCCACAAUUUUGGUCCAAGCUUUGACAAAAACUAGGAGUAGUCAUGGGGGUUGGGUUAGGAGUUUUCAGUAUGUUUCUUUAUUUUGUAUUUCUGGUGCUAUCUGUUUUGCAUUAGGUGUUGGUGGUUUUGGAUGUAGCUUCUAGCCUCUGCUUAUGCUUUUGUAUUUCUAUUGUUGGUUUCUCAGUUGUGUUGUGUUUCUUUAACGUAUUCAUUCUGGCCAUGUGUGGCUGUGUGGGGAGUUACAUUGUUGAUGUCGGUGUACUCUCCCUGGACUAACCUUUGAUGGUUACUGUGCCUCCAUCUUUGUAUUAACCCUAAAAAUUGGGUAUCUGUAUCCUAAAAAUUGGGUAUAUUCCUUCAGGUUCUGUAUUUAGGUGACUGAUGUGGGUGACAGAGUUCAAGCUUGGAUAGAAAUAUAAGUAAAAUCAUGUAAUUGCAAUCUAUUAAAAUCAUAAGUAAAAUCCUAAGUGAAUUAAAAAUCAUAAGUAAAAUCAUGUAAUUGCAAUCUAUUAAAAUCAUGAGUAAAAUCAUAUAAUUACAAAUCCGGCUGAAAUCCAUUACAUUAAAAUCAUGUAAUUACAAUAUAUUAAAAUCUCAUUAGAUAAACUCACGCUUCACAUGAGAUACGCUAAAGACUAUGAAACUAGAGUAAAUAAAUAGUGGGAUUUUGCAGUUGAGAGAAGCGUCGAAUAGUUCAGUAUGAACCUUACUAAUUAAAGUUUUGUUAGACUACUACUCCUUAGCCUUGGAGACCCUUUUUUUUUUUUAAAAUGAAAAAUCGUAACUAGCUUAAAUUUGGAGUAUGUGACAUGCAGCAAUCUUUUACAUACUGUAGAGAAAAUCGGCGCCAGAAGAGUAUUAUCUCGUGUGAAUCCCGCAACCUGAAAUAUAUCUAUGCUGAGCUCCUCCUAAAUAACUUCAUACUGUGUGGAUACCAAUAUGGUGUGAAGGCCAAAAUCAAUGAACCAGGUCUAAUUUCCUUAUCUUUUAAAAUUUGAUUGCUGGGCCUACAUUCAGACUCUACACAAGAAGCAUUUCCCUAAUCUCAGAGAUUAUCUUCUAAAAUUUGAUUGCUCCGAACAACUAGCCUAUUUAUUUAUGAUGCUGCGGUACUACCAUACUUACUGCUUGAUAUAUUUUGAUCCCUUUCUCAGUUUCUGCCAUUAAUUCUUACCAGUUCACCUUUCUUUUUUCUUGUGCAUGGACGACAGUGUAGGUUUUCAUCUUUCCAGAAACUUUGAGAAAGGCCCUCCUCCCUCCACCAUUGCCUAGACUCAGACAUCUUCAGGUCUUCAUGCUCACUUCUCCAACAGAGGCUACAGGUUCUGCAUUGUUGAACUCUUUACUUUGGAUGGCAACUUCUGCUAAGAUUAGUUCUAACAUAAUUUAAUUGGAAGGGGAUUGUGAAAUAGUUUGAAUGAAAGUUAAAUUUGUUUAGAUGCUUCUCUUGUUUCUAACUAGUUUCUUGGAAUGCAGAGAAAGUGUCUAUUCGGAAUUUCAGUUUGCUUUGCGUGCCAAUUUGAAUGCUAUCUACAUUCUCUCUUACCUUCUUCUUGUAGGGGCUUUUUUCUUCCGGCAGCUACAAAUGGGCUGGGCUGCCGUAAGGAGCGAACUGAAGAAAUCAUCCCCUAUGCUUGAGUUCAGAAAUCAAGCCCCAAGAAUGAUUCGAAAGGAUAGAGAAGCUUUAGGAAACACCUUGGUUACCUUCACCAACAAAAAUGACAACAACUUACAGAUAAAUUUUCUAGCUUAACAUUAGAGGCUUGUGGCAUAGGAGCAAAAUUGUCAUGAGUUUAGCACUGAAGAGAAAACUAAGUGUUCCUGGGGGAAAAGGGGUAUUAAGGUAGGAGAUGAAGAGUUUGCAGAGAGGUUUGGCUGAGAAUAAGGAAAAAGGAAGGAAUGAGUGGCUUAAGUAUUAUUUCCGGUAGCUUGACAGUGACUCUGUCAAAUGCUAGAGCAGCCUACUAGAAAGGGGAAAAAUGGGGAGGAGGAUGAACAGAGCACAAAUUUGUUGGGUGUUGCAGGUGAGAGAGGAAGCUUGCUCUCUGAAAUGUGGGUUAUCUUUGGUUGGGUAGAAGAAGCCCCUUUUAUAGCCGCUGGAAGCCAUCUUAUUCCACGAAACCCUAAUGGUUUCUAUCUAAUUUGGCCAAGCUUUUUCCUUCCUUUCUCCUCCCCUUCUUUGACUUAUCUUAUUCUAGCAAAAUCUUCUCUGUCCAAUCUCACAAAAUCAGGAAUUUUUGGGAGCUCAAUGCUCUUUCCCACAACUGCCUCUAUUUCCAGCCAUCUCCUUCUUUUCUUUUCUUCCUUCUUCCAUGGCUAGGUCUGAUAAGGGAAAGAGAAUGGGUAUGCAUACAGUUCAAAAGUCGAUUCCUCUCCUAGCAGGCUGCGUGGUCCCUUGGGUGUCUUUUGCUUGAAACUUGCUCAUUUCCCAUGUGCUGAAACCUCCCAGCAGCUUUGUAUAAUGGACCUUCAGACUUCCCCCUCGUGGCUUUUGUUUUACCAGACAAGUGAUGGGGCUUUGCAGCCUGCUAGGAGAGUAAGUGCCAAGUUGUGAUUUACCAAGUAAGUGGGCUAUCCUUAUCAAGCAUUAGGCUUUUUGGUUGAGUUAAUGGGCUAUUUUUCUCUUUGUACUCACCCACAUGUUUGGGCCUAAGAAAUGGGCUUGAGUUCCGAGUCUCCUAAGCAAUUCGGGACUUCCAUUUCUCGGCCCAUCAAUGGGCCUCAUGACAAUUUAUUACCAUCCAUACCACAACCCACUCAAGCAAGCCUCGGGCAUUUGAGUGACUUAGGCCCACUUAAGCUUGUGGUGUGAUUGGGUGCAGAAUAAUAAUUCCUUACUUGGCGUGCUUCAAUUUUAUCGUCCUUGAAGAGGGACACGGUACUUAGUUUAGCAUAGGCUUGUAUUUUAUAAUAUUAUCUUAGUCCUUAGCAUGACAAAUUAUUUAUUUAGCAUGACAUGUAGACUAUGACUUGUAUAUGACGAGCCUUCGUGUACUCCAAUAUGUGACUUUUUUUAAUACAAUAUCAUAUUGGGCCGAAAACUUAUUUGGGCCUAACCGUGGACUUUUUUGGGCCUCAACACUCUUUUCUACCUUUCAGCUACUAACUUUGAAAGAAAAUAAAUAAAUAAAUAAAUAAUCCAAUGAUGUGCGAACUCUCCUUUGUUUACGUUAGAAAUCUUCUUCACCACUGCAGGCUAAAGCUUACAUUUUGUUUUCAAUCACGUUGCAUUACAUAUGACCAUCUCUAUAUUACUUAAAUCUCUGGCGCCCAUCCCCGUUAUGUUCUUCUUCUUCUUCUCUAAAUUGAGCAAAUGAACUUGUUGGUCCCUUUUCCCGCUAGCACUCUUUUUGUUAUACUCUGGAUCUAGCUGCUCUAGAGAGUGGGAAGGUCGUCGAGUCAACACCAAUGCCCCGAUUGGAUUUCUGGCCUGCAAGGGGAUUCUUCCAACUUCUGAACAAAAUUGAAAGUUGGAUCAGGUUGACAAGAACGGGCUGGGCCCUUAACAACUUGUUCCUUAUGUCCUGAUCAUGAAUUGCAUAGGUGUGCCACUACUGGGGAUGAGACCAGCCCAAUAGAUCUGGUAUAUGUAGUGUAGAAUAUUGACUUUUUGGAUUUACACUUAUUCUGGACUUCUGUUCUAGCCAUUGUGCUCCAGGGGAGGUACUGGCCUGGAUAGGUCUCCCCGACAUUUAGGGUUGAUCAAAGAAAUAGGAUGUCGGCUACAUUAGAGAGUGAGUCAGACAAAAUAUUGAGGGAUGGAAACAAUGCUAUUUGUCAAUGGCGGGCAAAGAGGUGCUAGUGACAGCAGUGGCUAUUGCAAUUCCAACUUAUCGCCUUAUCCCAUGUCAUGUUUCAAGCUCCUAGUUGCCUCCUGCAAAGAAAUCAAUGACGAUUUAAGAUCCAUUGGAAAGCUUGGGGUAAGCUGUGCCUUCCCAAAGAUCAAGGAUUAUGAAAAUUUGCAUGUUUUCAUAAUAAGCCAAAGUGCUUCGUAGAGAAAUAGUCUCAAACGAGAUUUUUGAAGAAAACAGUAGUGCAAUAUAUAAUGGUAAACAUAUUUAUCAACUUGCAUUAUUUUGUAAUGAUACAAACUGUUUAUUUUUCAUGUCUUCCUCAAGUACAAAAAAUCAUUCGAAUUAGAAACCAUUUGACCAAUUUUUACCAUUUGACCAUUUGACCAUUUGAUUAUAUGGUGGUCAAUGUGUUUUUGGGAAGCACCAUAUUCGAUCAUUUUCUUUGUCACAAAGAAGUCUUAAAGGUUUCAAAUUUAUCUAAGCUUUUGUAAUAAUGAUCUAUGAAUGAAGAAAUGAAAAUAGAUGGCUCAGUUGAUAGGAAACAAAGUGGAGUCCCUACUUACGCAUAAAAGAAGAACAAGAAUAAAUAAAUAAGGCCCUGUUUGGUGGGCUGGAUUGGACAUGACUUUUUCAAUUAAAAUGGAUUACAAUCCUGUCCGUUGUUUGGUGAGCUUAAAUGCACAACGGGACUGGUUUGGACUCAUAUUUUCUAUGGGAUAAUAGUCUAGCAAAUCCUAGUAUUGAAAACCUGAGGGGAACCACGGGUUUAGAAUGACAUCACCUCCUUUCUCCUUUCUCCUUCGAUCGCCUCCGCUUCCUCUCUCCUUCGUUCUUCUAUGCCCCUGCCUCCGCCUCUGCUCUUUCAAUUGUCUACGCCUUUUCCUCCUCCUCCUCGGCUAUCUGCUCUUUCAUACCCAGAAGUGUUGGAUCCCAAUCAAACAGUGAAAGGGCUAUAAAAGGUACUAACACAUUUUGGAUAGCUAGAAUCUCCGACUUGCUUCAAAUUUGCUGACUUGUCAAUAGUAUUCGCCAACUGUCAACCUGCGGGCAGUACACGUGUGUUAGUUUGUAAGAGAAUCUUUUGUUGUUUGGCGCCAAAACUCUUCCGAGUAUUGUAGACAAUGAAGACAAAUAGUAUAUUGGUUCUCUUCAAUUCAUUCUCCCUUCAUUUUGGCUUCUAUAAGAACUGUUCAUCGAAACCACCAAAAAUCCUAUACUACAAAAGUAUAGUUGUCAAGAAAUAACAAACCAAUUAAAUACUAACGUUUUCCAGUCACUACUCUUCCUAUUCUCUUUCUGCCUGCUAUUGUUUAGUUUUCAAGAAAGUUCCAAGAUGGAUCCAAGAAAGAAGGACGAGCCCUCAUUUGAAUUAUUUGAAGCUCUUGUGGAGGCUGCUGCCACCAUACAAAAGCAUGCCGAAAUAAUGGUCAUGCUACCUACCGGAGGGAUGCCCCAAAAGCACCCACACCGCAUUGAGUUUCUCCGUAAGUUCUGUAAGUCAACUUAUCCGACCGAAAAACAAGUGGCCGAGGCAGUGCUGGGCGUCACCAAUAAGGAUGAGCUCACCGAAGCACUUCUUCCCCUAAACCCUAUUGUUUAGUUUUCAAGAAGGAUCCAAGAUAGAAAGACAAUCCCUCAUUUGAAUUGUUUGAAACUCUUGUGAAGGCCGCUGCCACCAUACAUAAGCAAUUCGAAAUAAUUGUCAUGCUAUCUACCGGAGGGAUGCCCCCAAAAAACCCACACCCCAUUGAGUUUCUCCGUAAGCCCUGUAAGACAAACUUAUCCUGUCGAAAACCAGGAGGCCAAGGCGGUACUGGGCGCCACCAAUAAGGAUGAGCUCACUGAAGCACUUCUUCACCUUCUCACACGCAUUAAGAACCUAGGCCGGGAAGUAGAGAGUUACUCCAUGUGAUAGUCACUAGGCUGUGGCCAGCUCUACAACCAUCUCGCCGCCUGGAGUAUCAAAACUCGUUUCUUCAAACCUUUAAUUCGCAGCGGUCGUCUCCAUUCUUGGAGGAAUUGAAGGAUGAUAUCGUUAGUUACAAGGAUUGACGCAUGGCCGCAACUUCUGACAGUGACAAAGGUAGGAUUUCACGUGUGUUGGGGCCUCUUACAAAUUAUAAAGAAUCAAAAGUUCGAACUCACAAUACAUACAAAAAAUAGUAUAUAUAUAUAUAUAUCACAUAUGUCAAUAAUUAUAUUGCUUAUUGGUUGCAAUCAUAAUUGUCCUCGACAAAGGGAUAGACAAAUACAUUUUAAGCAAGAAAAAUUGUAAGAGAUAGAUAAAGAGUAGCGAUUUAGCAAAUAUCUUUAAAGCUUUUUCCCCCAUUAAACCCAAUAGAAAGAAAAAAUCAAAAUUUCACAAACUAAAAAAAACCUUAGGUCCCUUCAUGCAUUUAUAUCAUACAUGAAAAAAUGUUUUAUGUAAAAAUAUUGACUAAAUAUGAAAAAUGGUUUUUUCGAAAUAAUCGUUUUUUCAAGAUAAUUUUUGGCGGCUUUUAUUCCUUACACAUCAAAUAAGAAAUUUUGAUUUUAUGGGAUUUUAGUAUAAAGUAUAUAUUGACUUAAUGAACCAUCAUUUUUAGCCUACAUCGUAUUUUGCAUUAAAAUCGAUUUUUCAUAUUUUGAUUUGGUGGGAAUUUGAUUUUCUAGUAUUUUUAUUUGAAUCCAAAUAUAGAGUACUUCUUUAUUUACAUUGUAAACUUAAGUAAAUGGAGUAAUAUAAAAAUAAAUGAAAGUAAAAGGACAAAGACAUUUACUUAAAUGCUAAAAAUAAAAAUAAGGUAAUUCGUACACUUGGAGUGCACCAUCACCAACUGAGCAACGGGCAACUUUAAGCACCCUUAAUAAAUUCGCUACAACACAUGUGGGUACAUAUCAAAACAUAAAAUAUUUAAAAUAAUAUACAUAUAAAAAUACAUAAUAAUAUAUUACUUUUUAAAUAUAAAAAAAUUUGACUGGGGGCACGGGACCACACUGGUCCCAGUGUGGCUCCACCCUGACUUCUGACACCGCUCCAUGAUGACUUCUUCCUAAAGCCAAAAUAGGACAAGCGUCUUUUGUUUGGGCUCAUUUUGUUCUCAAGAGUGUGCCCAUCGCGUUAAAGAAGAGAUCCAUGGAAGGGCAGAUGAUAUUCUUGAGACUCUAAUAAAGUUAAUGGGCCAGGAUGUGAACUUGGGCCCGAAGACUGAGAUGGCGAGGGCAUGCGUUCUUUUAAUGUUUCAAGUUCACUUUGUUUUAGGCGAUAGGAAGGUGAGGAAUGCUACAAAGCUUAAACAAGCAGUGGAACUCAUGGUGUCGAUCAUCUUUAGGAAAUUAGCAGCCGAUGCAAGCGGAGAGAAAUUUUCGGAUGACGACUUUUUUAGACAAGACCCAAGACUAUAGCCCAAUUCGUGACCGUGAGAAACCCGCAGGAAUGGACAAUGAUACUAUUAGGAUUGUACAGAGCCUCGCGUUUUCCCUAAGAGGUGCGAGGUUUCUCAUUCACAUGUACCUAAAGGGGUCGUUUGGUAUGGCGGACUGUCAUGGACUGGACUAAAUCCUGAGACUGUCUUGGAUUAGCUUGGAUUGGCCUAAGCUGGAUUAAGUACUAGCCUGCGUUUGGUGAUGCGUCGGACUAAGAAGCUGGAUUGUAAAAAUAGUGAAAACCUAUGUUUGGUACUGUGUUGGACUAAAAAAAUUAUUUAAAUAUUUAAAAUUAAUUUGGGAUUUUGACCUAAAACUAAAUAAAUACUACAAAGAAACCAAUGAGAUAUGUAUAAUUUAUUAUAUAAAAAAAAUUUUAAAAUAUUUUUUAAUAACAAACUAUCUUUAUCUUUUAUCUUUUAUCUUUUUUCUAUUUUUUCUUUCUUUCUUCCUUUUCUCUCCUUCUCUUUUCUUCUUCCUUCCCAGCCCUGUUUCUUUUUUCUCUUUUCUUUCUCCCUCCCGAUCUCUCUCCAGUCCUCUCUCUUUUUUUCUCCAAUAUUGACACAACAUUGGUGUCCCUUUUUUUUUUUUUUUUAAUAUUCCCCUCCCAAACCUUUCUCUGCUUCCCUCUCAUUUUCUCUCUAUUCUUCCCCCUUCUUCCCCCCGCCCCCCCUUCCUUUUUUUGUUGUUGUUGUUACAGAGGGGGUAAACGCCCCAAAACAAAAACUAUUAAAUAUGACAAGGGGAGGUCUAGCAGGACCUUGAGCAUCAACAUCUAAAAUGGCUCUAAGGAAGGCAGGAGUUUCUUCAAAAACAUCGAGGCCAUGAUUAAACUUGUGAUUGGCAGCCAAGGUCUCUUGUUCCCUUUGAAGUCACAGAUCCUCAUCUUCUUCGAAGUCACAAAUCUCCAUUUGGUUUCACUGAGCCACGGUCAAUGGUUGGUAAUUUUUCGAAAGGUUCAAUUGGGUUGUGGUUCCACUGGGUUUGAUUUGAUGGUGGUUGAUUCAAGUGGUUGAGUUUGAAUUGGUGGUGGUUGGUUGGUGUGACUGGGUUUAUGGUGGUGAUAAUUCUAGUUGAAGAAGACGAAGAAAUUGAUUCUUGAAGCUUGGAUAUGGAUUUGGUCUUGCGAUUGGAUUAGUCGGACUUGCGCGUCAAAAUAGCACGCUCGCUAUUUUGCGAACUACAUUUCAGCCUCUCUGUAUAAGGAGAGCGAGUGAGGAGGUUUUUUAACUGUUGGACUCCACAAUCCCAUUUAACUUAGUCCCCCAUUUUACCAAACAUGGGUUUCAAGGUUUAUUUAGCAUAGUCCAGUCUAGUGAGGCAUACCAAACACACCCAAAGUUGAUUGGACAAGUCAAUUCUGAUGACGUAGACAUGCAGAGGCGGCCUUGGGCCAGGGCUACAGCCCGGGGCUCACAGCUGAAGGGGGCCCAAUAUUUUUUUUUUUAAAGCCUAUGUAUAUAUGUGUAUUAAAAAAAAUUAAUUAAACAGAAGAUAGUUGCUGCCUGUGCGUGUAUACCAAAAAGGAAGCCAAUCAAUCAGUCAUUAUAUUCUCAAUCUCAAGAAGAAACUUAAUGAGGAAGAAAAGUCUCUUAUUAAUUAUACAAUAUAAUAUAAAACAAAUAAACAAAAUAUGGGAAAAUCAAAACCAACUUUCUUAGCCACAAAAAGAAGAGGAAAAACAUUUUGACCUACUCUGCUUCUUAGAAGUUCAACGCAAGCAAUUUUUUUUUUUUUUUUUUUGUGAUUCUCGUCUUCUCCAACACACAUAGAGUUGGAUUCCACAAGCUAGACCAGUGCCUUUUUUGAAGGUAAUUUUUUUUUUUUAAUAGAUACAUAUAAAUUCUAGAUGUAUAAAUUUUGUAAAUUGUAAUACAUAUCUUUAUUAACUUUUUCAUCUUUAUUAUUUGAUUCAACAGAAAACUUGGUUGGGAUUCUUGUUCUUUAUAAUUGGAAGUUUCAAGUUGAAGAAAAUAUGCUCAAAAUCCAGGUGGAUAUGUUUCAUAAUGUAAUGAUUGCUUAUAGGGUAUUAUUGACUAUACCUGUGACUGUGGCAUUUGCUGAAAGAAGUUUUUCUAAAUUAAAAUUAUUGAAAUCUUAGUUGCGGACCAACAUGACUCAAGAUAGGCUAAAUGGAUUAGCAAUAUUAUGCAUUGAAAAUGAUAUGUUAGAAAACAUUAAAUAUGAUAGUAUAAUUGAUGAUUUUGUAUCUAAAAGUGCAACAAGAAGACAUUUUAAAUGAUGUUUUGUGUGGUUGAGAUUUCAUUGCUAUUUUUAUUUUGUAGGUACAUGUGAUGAUUGUUUGCUUCGAUUAAUUGUGGAGGAUGAAAAGAAAAUUGAUCAAAUCAAGAAAUGCUUACAGAGAUUGGGGAGGAAGUAUGUAGACUCAAAUAUGUAGUUUUUGUUUUUUAAUGCAAUAUUUACAAUGCACCCCUUUUUUUCCUUCGUUUGGGAUUUUGUCUCAUUGGAUUUUCCCCAAACAAAGUUUUAAUGAGGCCCCAAAGGGUUCUUCCUUAUCUUUUAUAAAUUUUUAUCAUUUUAAUUAAUUAGUUUUUUUUUUUUUUUGUUUAAUUUGUAUAAAGGGGCACACUUGAGAAAAUUUGCCCUGGGCCUUAGAAAACCCAGGCUCUGUAGACAUGCCUUCUAUAUUCUACUGGUAGCGUCAUAUUUUAGUCAUAUUUCAGUUUGUGUAGCAUGCAAGUAAAAGUUGUUUUGCAGGUAUGGACGAAUUUGCGCAUGCCUAAGGGAAAGCAGUUUCUCAUUCCUAUCUGCGGUUAUCCUAAGCCUAAUUAAAAAAGCCACAGAAAGUGUAGGAUUGAGGUUGAUGAAAAUCCAGGCUUAGUAUCAAAAACAGAUAAUGAGAAAAAGAAUAAGAAGAAGUCAUUGAAUAAGGUAUAUAUCCAUGUAGGCUCCUAGCUUGCACUGUGCUCCAAAGUCUUGUGGACAUAACCGGUAAAAGAGUUGUGGGGAGAAGAAAUCAAUGGGGGCUUGUACAUCACACUGUUAAUCUUUUUGCCGAAUGGGUGCUGAACCAGUUUAUUUUUUUCUUCUUCAAUUUUCUUUUUUGUUGCGUAGAUGAGAUGGUUGAAAAGUCUAACAACAGCUGAUAUUGUGAAUUUUAGACAACCUACAAAAUGGUAAUUAUAAAGAUUAGUCUAAACACAAAUUAUACUCGUAAGUGCACAAGGUCAAUCGUAAUUUAGUAUGGUAAAUACGAGGUCAUUCUCACGAGGAUUGAGUUCAACUUCCAAUUAGUCUAACCUAAUUUACUUCACAAAAUACUUUAACUAUUCUAAUUAUAUAAACAAGAAAUUAAACACGUAAACACAAAAGGGUUUUUUGAAUGAGUGAUUUAAUUAACAACGAAAUCAAAAGAAAAAACAAGUAGAAAGCCAUGAAACACAAAGAUGAGAAAUUCAAAUUGAUAAAAGCACUAGGACAUUGAAUUCACCACUAGUAAUCCGAUCUAGCCUCUUAUUCACCUACCUGUUAACUAACCAUUUGAUGUCGCCGCUUAGUUUUCCUUUUUCAUGAAUUACCUAUGGUAUUUAGGCUAACUCGUAUAUUCUUAAAUGCAAUUCGCCUAUGGUAUUUAGGUCAAAUAUCAACACGUAGAAACUCAUUAAGAUCAGUGAAAACCUCCAACAAGCAUGUAAAAAUCCUAGAAUUAUGAUAUUUACCCUAGACGAAUUAUAGAUCUUAAUCACAAGAAGCAAGCCUCAAAUUAAGUAUGGUAUUUACUCUAAUUUGCAUCCAAUUAACUCAAUUAAAAGUCUAGAUGGUGAUCAAGCAUCAAGAUAAUCAACCAAGUUAUUAAGCACAGUGAUUAAGAAUCCAACAUCAAACGGCAAUCAAUAGAUAGGUAAAAUAAGAAAACUAGAUUAUCAUACUAGGGCUACAUCAUGCCCUAUCAAAAGAAAAUUAGUUACACAUAAUCAUAGAAUUCGGCAUAAGCAAAAACAUAAUAAAAUAAUAAUAAAAACUUAGCCAAUUGCGGUACUCUCCCGGCGUCUCCAAUUUCUCCAAGUCUUUACGUAACCCAAAGGAGUUGUUUCUCAUGCUUAAACAAAACACCACACGUCUAUUCCUAACCUAGCUGGGCUUUUACAGCAGCCCCAAAAAUAAAGAAAAACCUAAUUAAAACAUAAAUCCAAAAAGGGUAAGUAAUUGACUCCUCUACCUACUUUGACUGGGAUAACACAUCAGUUUCUUUGCAAGCACGUUUGAAGUCAUUUCUCCUCCAAGAAAAUUUCGGAAAAAAUAUUUAAAUUGUAGAUCUUUGUCUUAUCUUUCCAACCAUAUAUCGCACGCUGUGAGAAAAAAAACACGAAGACCUUCAAAUUUCCUUUUUCACACAGUAACUCAAAUCUAACGGAAUUGCACUUAUGCUGACUUGAGCUCAAAGAGCACUCUCAUUGGUUGCUCCAAAAAUUCUAGAAACAUUCCAAAAUUAUCUUCAGGGUCUUACCUUCAAUAUCCAACUGGCCUUACACAAAAACUCUACCAAAAGUCAUAUUUUGUUGGUAAUCAAUUAGCUGCUCAGUUAAGCUGAAAAUGAAGAAAAUAAAGAAAAUAAAGAAAAUAAAGAAAAUAAAGAAAAUAAAGUAAUAAGUCCUUUUUAAAUCUAAUUCUCCUACAAAAACUAAGUAUAAAUAGUACAUAAUGUGUAAAUUUAUGGGCUUAUCAGCUGACACCAAGGAACGAGUUCUAGUGCUUUGGAUGCUAUCAAAGUGAAGCUUUCUCUUAGGGCAUUAAGGUGUGCAGAAUUUUGGAAAGAGCAACCGAAGUUGGGAUAAGAGCACAAACACAAUCUACUGUCUUCAGUCAAGGUUUAAGAAUUGAAAUUGGAACCUUUGAUUCAAUCAAAAGGGGACUUACAAUUCAUUUGAAGUGUACGAUGUACUUAUAAAAUUGUUACAAUUUAUUUUUCAUCGAGGUCAUGUUGUCUAUUCUUAGAAUUUAAUUUCGAACCUCUGGUUCAAUCAAAAGGGAUUUACAAUUCAUUUGAAGUAUACCAUGUAAUGCUUAGAAAAAUGUUGUUCAUGUCCAAACCAGGAAUCAACUUAGAAUGAUGAAGUAUGAAAUCUUCAGCAAGGAUUGAAUGGUGAGGACCUUUGGUAAGGAUGCCUUCAGCAGCUAGAUCAACUUGUAGAGGGAAACGAGACAAGCAUUUAUCAAGCUUCAGGCACCGGUGUUGUAAGGGUAAGGGUCCAAAGUCAGCAAGUAUGAGGUAAGUGGUAAUUUUGGCACAGAAAGGGUCAAAAGUAGUUACCUUUUUACCUUAGCACUAUUCCCCUUUCAUAGAAAAAGGGAAGUGGAUGUUUGCCCAAUUAAGAUGUGGGACUUUGGGCAAAUCAUUGUGGUAGUGAUACGUGUCCCAAGGUCUAGGUUCUGUAGGCUUGCCUUUCAAUAGUAUGUUGCCCUAUUAGAGAAAGAUGUAUCUUCAGUACCUUCAGUUGUGAUGACAUCAUCAAUACUCUAAGUUAGAGCAUUUCUUGGGUUGUCUCCUUUUGGUAGUUUGUGGGUCUGUCUCUGUACCAGUCCCCCAAUACCGAAUGUGCUUGGUUGAUUAUGGUACAAAUAGUAGUCCCUUAAGUUGCAGAUUGAGAAGUGGCUUUUGGGUUGGAAACUUGUAAAAUGUCAUAUAAUCUUACCGAGUGGUUCGGCAUGCCAGAGGUAGUCCUAAGUCCCCCAAGUUUGCAAUCUAGAAGUUACUUUGGCAUGGAGGUAACUGGAGGUGAAUUAAGACAUAGAGUGCUAGUCGCGCAAUAGAGUCUUCUACAAGAUUAGCAUGCGUCUUCCCGAUCACACGUCUUGUAAAUCAGUUAGGAGACUACGCGCAUCUCGCACAAGAGUGUCCUACACGAUCGACAUGCAUCGUGCCGAGAGUGUCUCCUACACAAUCAACAUACAUCUUGCCAAUACGUAGGGAGACUAAGCGCAAGUCGUGCUAAUGUUGAAAAAGUUCAAAGGUUGGUAAUCAAAUGCAUGCCACGUGGCGGAAAUAGUUUGAAUAAUCAGAUCGUAAUGAAGGUCAUUAGUGCUGGAAACGAAGCAUCAUUACAAGUAGUUGAGUUGCAAUGAUGUGCAUUGGCUCAAGAAUUGAGAUGUCGGUAUAUAUGCCACAAGGGUAUAAAGUCCUUGCCUAGGGUAGAGAUAGAACAUUUAGCAUUGGAGAGAAAUUUGAGAGGGUUGGUGUACCAAAUUUAAGGGUGACAAAGAUGAGGGUACCGAUUUUGAGUUCCUUAUAGAAGAUCCUAUAGAAGACAAUAGGAUAAUAGUCUAUGAUGGAGGAAUAAGUCAACAAUCGGUAAACUCGGGUGAAGCCAGGCAUGAAGCAAUGCAAGUUGAGUUUGCCAAUGAUAUGUUCAUAAUUUCACAUGAUUUUAUAUCCUAUUUACUUAGUUUUGUGAAUUAAUUUGGAUUAAAGAUGCUGAUUUUAGUUAUUUUCUGGUUUUUCAGUUUAUAAGUCGUGAAAUGUAUAAAUUCGUCAAAUAUUCCUCAUAAUAUAGUUUGACAUGAUUCCAAUUAGAAAUGGAAGAUAGCAUCUUGAAGUUUGUCCAUGAAUAUUUCAUAAUUUUUUAAGACUGCUAAGGUGCCCAUUUUUAAUUAGACAACUCAGCCUAAACCAAUUCCCGGAGAAUACUAAAUCAGCAGGGGUAAUUUGGCCAUAACUCACUCAUACGACAUUGGAUUGAGGCACACGACAUAUGGCUGAAAAGAAAACAUCCGAAGAUUUCCAAAGAGUGGUCAUACGUAAUUUUCGGAGGUCAUGAAGGUAUUCAAAUCGCAUUCGCUAAGAGGAUCACGUGCAGUUUCCUGGAAGUUUUAGAAAAUUUAGUUUUGAUUACCUUUUCUAGUUAGAAAUAGACUUGGAAAUCAAGUCUUCGUGUAAGGCCACUUGUUUAGGCCCAUUCUAACUAGGUUUUAGGUUCUUUUUAGAGGGGAGGUUGGGGGGGGGGCUCAAAGAGGAUAUAUCAGAAAUUUCAGAAUUCAACCGUGGAGCAAGGAAGAGCGACCUUGCCUCUAUACUCUAAGGGUUUUUCUUAUCUCUUUCUCCAUGUUUUAUUUUUGCUUUGUUACCAUGAUUAUGAGUAACUAAUUUUCUUUUACUAAGACACAAUGUAACCCUUUUCUAAUUAUUCAAAGCUUAGUUAUGUCAUGCUAUUAGACUUUCCAUGUUGUUGAAAUUUAAUCACUGUACUUAUUUUCUUAACUAAUGAUCUUGACGCUUAGCUACCAUCUAGAUUUUUGGUUAAGUAAUUUAAUGCAUGUUAGGGUAUACGCCAUGCCUAAUAUGAGUUUUGCUUCUUGUGAUUAAAUUCAUAAAUGCGCCUAAGGUAAAUACCAUACUCUUAGGGGUUUGGGUGAUUGUGUGAAGUUCUCAUUGAACCUAAGGUCUUUUUAUAUGUUUAUAUUUAUGCCUCACGCCAAGGAUAAAUUGUGUGUAAGAAGAAGUGGUUAAUUGCUGUGAAAAGAGUUAAUCAUAAUUUUGGAUAACUAAUCAUCAACAUAACUUGGAAAUUUUGAUAGCAUGCAUGCUACGGUUUGAAAUUGGUACACAGGUGACGAGGGGUGAAUUUAAAUGCUAUUCAAGUAGUCAUAGUGAUCUUCACACACUUUAAUCAUUGACCAAAUAUACUUAUAACUAGUCAACUGCUAGUCAUGAGAAACCAUAACGAAGAACACACACACAGAGCAUAACAAUCUAUACCUGCAAGCCUAGAAGAUUAUUAGUAACAACCUAGACACUCAGAAGGACCCGUCAAUCUAGACAUCCCUUGUGCUAGCAACAACUAUGGUGAAAGUGCGUGAAAAUAUCAUACAACAGAUAGUGAUGACUAGUCAACUGCAAGAACACAAACCCAGAAAUGCAUGAUCAUCAUGCGAUGACCAGUCAACUAUCAAGAACAUAAACCCAUAAAAUAACAAAGCUGCAAACCAGAAAUUGUUCACCCAGAAACCCACCAUUGGGCAAAACUGGGGGUCAUCAACCGACCAAACAAUUCACUAAGUAAAGAAGAUUCUUACCAAGGAAAACAAGUAAACUCAAGAAAUCCUAGAUCUAUUUAGGAAGAUAAGCUAUACCUCCUUUGUGCAAUCUUCUUCUCCAACUUAGCAAAACCAGCAGCUUAGUCCUUCAUGGCAAUGACAGCUCCUUCUUCAACUCUUUCAUCCCAUGGCACCAACUAGCCAGCUUAAACUCAUACAGAAACCAAAAAUUUGGAUUCAAAGGAAAAUGAUCAAUUUCUUCAAGAAACCAUACUCUUGACUUGAAUCUGACCUAGAUAUAUAUGAGAGAGUGUUUGAUAUAGCAAGAUGAGGUUUUCAUAUUUCAGAUGCAGUUUUCAAAAAAUCAAUUUGGAAAACUCAAAGAUGAAAAAUAUGAAGGUUCACUCUUGAGGAAGAAGAAGAGAAAGUUUUCUAAGAAGCUUUCCAAAACUCACCCACAAAAUAGACGGCUGCCAAAUGAGAAAUUCUUUGACUUUUACCCAAAAAUUCCUAGGUCAGAAUAGUACACAUGACAGUUGAGAAUUUCGCAGAAAAUGACGAAAAGAUGAUUAGGACCCAGCUGGAAACGGUGAGAUGGAAAUCCUAAUUGAAACAAAGGUUGACUAGUCAUACAAAGAAAAGAUGACUAGUCACAAUCUUCAUAAAUUUAGUGAAUGCAAUGUAGUGCAAUGCAAAGUUUACCUUUGUCAAAACACAUUGUUGUCCAUCAGAAUGUAGCUAGAUAAGAACACCUAGAGAAGUAAUUCUUAAUCUAAACUUAGAGCAAUGAUUGUCCUUUUACAAAAUUGUCAAGGGAAGCCAAAAGAAAAUUACAAAAUGCAUACACUUACAAGGUUUGUAUAAGAGGAAUUGUGGUGAAAUUGUUGUCUUGGCAAACUUCUUUAAAGUCUUUCACAAACUUAUUUAGUUCACGUUUUUCUUCGUUAUCUUGUCUUUUAACUUUCUUGUUUUCAACGUUCUUUUAAAUAAAAUCUUUCAAAACUCCUUUAUUAAGUUUUAGUUGAGUAGUUUUUAAUAUAACCGUCUUACGCCUUUAAAUUAUAUAAAUAAGUUCUUUGUAAGGGGUUUAUAGCUCAAAUGAUUAAAAAUAGUUAUCCCUACAUCCGAGAUCAUGUGUUCGAAUUCCCCUCCUUCAAUAUCACUUACCAAAUGUAUUCCCUUUCUGACUCUUGUUCUUUGUGUUCGCCGAGUUGGCCUUUUUUGUGACAUCUAAUCAUUCUUCGCGUAGGGCAUGUGGGGCUUAUUGCAGAGUUGGUUGAACUUGAGACUUGAGAGUGCCUUUUGGUUUUGGUUUUGGUUCUCAUUCAUCUGUUAGACGUUUUGAAGAGCACGCAAAUUAGCUCUGGCUCUGGGGCUUUCUGCUACAAGUAUUAUUGGGUCGAUUUCUGUGACAAAAAUAAGUGGACUAAAACUAAUAAUAAGGCUUAAUUAGAAGAGUUAUUUUCACAAAAGAGGAGAUAGCUUAAUUAGAAGAGUUAAAACUAUGCCAUAAUCCUUUAUAUCAUGCCACCAUAUCACGCAGUUGACAAAGAGUUAUACAUGGAUAUUGGGUGAUAGAGUUAUAGCUUAUGGUGAUUUGAAAGCUUGUUUUUUUGUUCAUUUGUAAAAAAAUAUUUGGGGGGGGGGGGGGGGGGGGGGUUGGGGUUUUGUUGGUGUUGGGGUUUGGGGGUUGGUGUUCUCUAAAAGGGAAUUGCAAAGCCAAAGAAAUUAAAACAAAUAAAAAAACAAAUCUCUAGAACUGUGGGAAUUGAAAAGCAAAGAAAAACCAAAUCAUGAAGUCCAUUUUUUUCUAUUACAAAGUUUGGGGAGGAUUCGAGAACUUGGUUGGUAGAGCUUUGAAAAUCCCCUUUUUGUCAACAAUUGUUGUGCAUUCGAAGAUUGUCUUGUUGGAAAAUGGUUGUUGGGUCUUGAGUUGUCUUUUUUCUUAACCUUGGCUCUUUCAUUAUGUUCAUUCUUUUUCUUAAUGAAAAAUUUUAUACCCAGAUUGAACUCUUUUAUUUUCUUAUUAGCUUUCUCUGCACUUUGUUGGAAAAAAUCCCCAGUUCCAAACUUCUGUUGGAAAAAAUCCAAAGUUCUACAACAAUUGAAUUUGAUUCUUUGAGCAACCGAUAUGUCUUUUGGUUGAGAAGGGAAAAAAUCAACCAAAAUGUCUCAGUUGAAAAGAUACAAACCAACCAAUACGUCGUCUUUCGGUUGAAAUGGUACAUACCAACUGAUAUGUCUUUAAUUGGUACAUUAUUCUGACUUAAUUAAAUGUAUUAUUCUUUCAACAUACUUGAUUAGUUGCACACUUUCAGAUAAAUUGAAUGGAUGUCUUUUGCUCUAUAUUUAUUUACUGUUGUUAACAGAACAAUAUGUCAAAAACUAAUUCAAAAACAGUUUACUACUCUCUUCUUCCCUACAACCAUACAAUUUUCUUAUAGUAAUUUCUAAGGGAAUUCUUCGAAUUUUUGCUAUUCGUUGAUUUCAGACUUUGUUGUAUUCUGAAAAAUGAUUUGCCAAGAAUCCAUUAGCUUACUCAGACUUUGUUGUAUUCUGAAAAAUGAUUUGCUAAGAAUCCAUUAGCAAACUCAGUUAAGUGGGGCAAAUAAAACUUUAAUUAAGGAGACUCUUCAAAUUGAGUCCUUCUACAUAUUUUUUUUUUUUUGGUUACAACCUUCUACAUAUUUAAUUUCUUACUCAACAACUUCCCUACUUUAUUUAAAGAACUUGGAGAAGGAAAAAAAAAAGGGCAGUCCAAACAGUUGAGAGGAUAGGUUCUUUUUCUCAUUAAAACUGCUAGAAGUACAAUUACAACCAAAAUUAUAUUAUAUAUUAUGUAUUGGGUGAGUAGCCUCUUGCCAGCAGAAAAAAAGUAGAUAUGGUACUUAUGAAUCCUUCUCAACAAAUAGGCUAAGCUACAAGCCUAAAUUUUCCCAUUUAAGGUCAAACAAUCCUUAACCCAAUAAAUGGGCUCUACUAUUUGGACCUGGUCAUUCUUAGCUCCAUUGUUGUCUCUAACCGAAUAAAGUAAGUUUUAGUAUUAUUAUUAUUAUUAUUUUAAAUUUUAUUCUUUAAAUUUUACGGGUCUAUCUCAGUGAAAAAUGGCUUUAAUUUGCAUAUCAGUGAUCUCCACGUGCUUUUAUUUGGCAUUGCGACUACUCUGUACUUUUUUAUGUGUUAUCAAUAAAAUUACUAUCGCUUUUUAUCAAAAAAAAAAAAAAAAACUCCUCUUAACCACUUGAGCUACAAGUGCAAUGCAGUUUAAAAUAUCAACACAAAAUUUAGGAGAACGGGAAGUGGAAGGUGAAUGGGAAGAAGAAAUGAAGGGAUAUAUUUUGGGAAUAAUGGGGAUGAGAUGAGUAGAUUUUUAUUUUAUUUUAUUUUUUAACAAAUGUAUGAGAGUUUACCCCUGCACCUCAGUUCAAUUUUCCCUUCCCUAAUAUCUCAGUAUUUGAGUCUUUAAACUUUCAAAUAAAUCAAUGUGGUUCUUAAUCUUUUGAUCCACACACAAAUAUUUGGUCCUUCUCAUCACAUUUGUCAAAAUCUUUGUUAAAUUUAUUCACUUAACCAACUUUGAAGGGGUAUUUUCAUUCAAAUACAACUUAUCCACCAACAACUCAAAGUAAUUCUCACAUAUUUUACUCAAUAAGGCUAUAUGUUCUCCUUGAUGGACUCUAGUGUAAAAUCUUAAUUGGUAAGAUAUAGCCUAUUGAUCAAAAAUGUGAGUAUUAGGACUGAAAUGAACUACAAUUAGAUGACAAUAUCCCUUUAAAGUGGCUCAUGCGAUGACACACAAUUAGUUUUUAUUGAAAAUUUUGUCGGAAUGCAAUAACAAAAAUUAAAUUGAUGUGUUGACCCAAAGAUGAAGCACCAUAUUGAUUGAUUUGAGAGUUUGAAGACUAAAAUGAAGAUUUUAAAAAAGUUUAGAGACUAGUUGUGAUCAAAACCAAAAGAAAUGUGGGAGUGUACAGAUAAGGGGGGGUGGGUAAAAAGAAAAAGGGUGUUUAAAUUAUUUUCUAAAAUUGAUCAAAAUGUCAUUGAGAUGAUGAUUGAUUGGUUGUGUACUCUUAUAAAUAAAAGAUUAUAACCAAACUCAAACGUAAGAAUUCAUAAACCACUCGUUUAAAACCCCACCAAUAACACCAAUUAAAAUAUCAUUAUUCUACAACGAAAAGAAAAAACUAGAAAGUCAUGUGACAUUUUCUCUUCCACUUGUUAGACAAAGCAAUUGUUAAAGCUCAGACCAAAACACAAAAAAAAAAAAAAAAAAGCAAUUGUUAAAGCCUUACAUAUCUUUAUCUUUUUACUCAACUAUUUUAUUUUACCGGCGGUAGGUGAGUCUGGUAGGCUCUUCUCCUCCUUAUAAAGCCGCACUAGCAGCUAUUCCAUCACAAAACACAAACUUCAAACUUUCUCUCUUUGUCUCUAUUUGAUCUCUUCCAAUCCCACCAACCAAAAGAGCAAAACAAAAAAUCAUUCCCAAAAACCAAGCUAAGUAUUAAGAUGCCUGCCGAUAGUUCUUCAGUUUCAGGCCAUGGCCAAACUGUUUGUGUAACCGGAGCUGGAGGCUUCAUUGCUUCCUGGAUUGUCAAACUAUUGCUAGAAAGAGGCUACA
rnacentral:lncRNA from 1 species